GAUGAACGCUGGCGGCAGGCCUAACACAUGCAAGUCGAACGGUCGCAGGAGACACCUUCCUGUUUCGCUUACGCGUGGCGGGCGUGUGUGUAAUGUGGGGGACACAGCUUUAUGACGGGGGUAAACUACUGGAAACGGUAGCUAAUACGGCAUAACGUCUCAAGACCAAAGAGGAGGACCUUCGGGCGUUCUUCCUUCCGAUUAGACCUGAUUCCGGAUGGCAUUAGCUAGUGGGUCGGGUAACGGCUCACCUAGGCGACGAUGCCUAGCCGACCUGAGAGGAUGAUCAGCCACACUGGAACUGAGACACGGUCCAGACUCCUACGGGAGGCAGCAGUAGGGAAUAUUGCACAAUGGGCGCAAGCCUGAUGGAGCCAUGCCGCGUGUAUGAAGAAGGUCUUCGGGUCGUAAAGCACUGUCAUUGGGGAAGAAGGGAUUAAAGUUAAUAUCUGCGCUUAUUGACGUUACCUGCACAAGAAGCAACGGCUAACUCCGUG
rnacentral:rRNA from 1 species